rnacentral:rRNA from 1 species
AACGAACGCUGGCGGCAUGCCUAACACAUGCAAGUCGAACGAGACCUUCGGGUCUAGUGGCGCACGGGUGCGUAACGCGUGGGAACCUGCCCUUAGGUUCGGAAUAACUCCCCGAAAGGGGUGCUAAUACCGGAUAAUGUCUUCGGACCAAAGAUUUAUCGCCUUUGGAUGGGCCCGCAUUGGAUUAGCUAGUUGGUAGGGUAAAAGCCUACCAAGGCGUCGAUCCAUAGCUGGUCUGAGAGGAUGAUCAGCCACACUGGGACUGAGACACGGCCCAGACUCCUACGGGAGGCAGCAGUGGGGAAUAUUGGACAAUGGGCGAAAGCCUGAUCCAGCAAUGCCGCGUGAGUGAUGAAGGCCUUAGGGUUGUAAAGCUCUUUUACCCGGGAUGAUAAUGACAGUACCGGGAGAAUAAGCUCCGGCUAACUCCGUG